rnacentral:tRNA from 1 species
AUCUUUUUAGUAUAAAAAGUAUAUUUAACUUCCAAUUAAAAGGUUUAUUUUAUAAAAAAGAUA